UCAAUUGUCUUAUAAUUGAAGACUGGAAUGAAUGGUUGAACGAAAUUAAAACUGUUUCAUUUGUAUUAAUUAGAAAUUGGUUUUUAAAUGAAGAGAUUUAAAUUUAAUUAAUAGACAAGAAGACCCUAUUGAGCUUAAAAUAACUUUAAAAUUAAAAAUUUAUUAUUAGAGAUUUAAGUUUUAAAUGUUUUUUAGUUGGGGCGACUAAGGAACAAGAGAAGCUUCCUUUAUUUGUUAAAUUGAUGAAUUUUGAUCCAGUAUUGAGCUGAUUAAUGGAGAUAGUUACCAUAGGGAUAACAGCAUAAUCUUCUUGGAGAGUUCUUAUCAAAAAGGGGGGUUGUGACCUCGAUGUUGGAUUAAAAUAUCCUAAAGGUGUAGAGGC
rnacentral:rRNA from 1 species